GAUGAACGCUAGCGGCAGGCUUAACACAUGCAAGUCGAGGGGUAUAGUUUUUCGGAACUAGAGACCGGCGCACGGGUGCGUAACGCGUAUGCAAUCUACCUUUUGCAGAGGGAUAGCCCAGAGAAAUUUGGAUUAAUACCUCAUAGUAUAGCGACAUCGCAUGAUGAUGCUAUUAAAGUCACAACGGCAAAAGAUGAGCAUGCGUCCCAUUAGCUAGUUGGUAAGGUAACGGCUUACCAAGGCAACGAUGGGUAGGGGUCCUGAGAGGGAGAUCCCCCACACUGGUACUGAGACACGGACCAGACUCCUACGGGAGGCAGCAGUGAGGAAUAUUGGACAAUGGGCGCAAGCCUGAUCCAGCCAUGCCGCGUGCAGGAUGACGGUCCUAUGGAUUGUAAACUGCUUUUAUACGAGAAGAAACACUCCAACGUGUUGGAGCUUGACGGUAUCGUAAGAAUAAGGAUCGGCUAACUCCGUGCC
rnacentral:rRNA from 1 species